rnacentral:hammerhead_ribozyme from 1 species
GUACUGCUGAGGAGUCCCACAAUAGGACGAAGUGGCCGUCCAGUGC